rnacentral:rRNA from 1 species
GCUAAGGCGUGGCCAGCAGCGGAGGGAUUACGGGGGUGACAGGCGUUAUCCGGACUCAUGGGGGUUAAAGGGUCCGUAGGCGGCCUUAUAAGUCAGCGGGGAAAGUUAUUGGCUUAACCAAAAAAUUGCCAUUGAUACUGUAGGGCUUGAAUAUUUGUGAAGUAACUAGAAUAUGUAGUGUAGCGGUGAAAUGCUUAGAUAUUACAUGGAAUACCAAUUGCGAAGGCAGGUUACUAACAAAUGAUUGACGCUGAUGGACGAAAGCGUGGGUAGCGAACAGGAUUAGAUACCCUAGUAGUC